rnacentral:tRNA from 1 species
AUCGCUUUGGCCGAGUGGUUAAGGCGUGUGGCUGCUAAGUACAUGGGGUUUCCCCGCGAGAGGUCGAAUCUCUCAUGCGACG